GCAAGAUUCAGAGAUAUAUGUCUCAAAUGUUUGGUUAGAUUUGGAUUAUAUAGCAUCCUAGCCAAGGAACUACAUAUAUUUAGAGAAAUGCAAGACAAAGGAAACAGACCUUGAACCUCUGGGGAGGGUAAAUCAUGGGCAGGCAAAUAUGUGUGAAACCAAGGGUCAAUGAGUCCACUGAGUAAAGUUUGUGAUAGGGACUAUUCUGGUGCCAGUUUCAAGCUGACAAGAGUCUAAGUUUGUCUCUGUGACUGAUGUUUGUCCUUCUGGAAGAGAUGAGAGGAUAGGCAUAUUUGAACAUUUGUCCUGCUGUUGGGCAAAUAAGAUGAGGGCAGAGAGCUUUUUGCUGAUAUCUACUCCUUCACAAUUGUCUUUGGCUCAAGUAAUCAUACUCAAUUGACAUACUGUGGAGGUACCUUCACAUUCACAUAUUGUGCUACCCUUCACAUUCAAGGUUGUAAAAUUUGAAAAUUAGAGGAAACCUUUUCUCUUUCCAUACCACUCCUAAGGA
rnacentral:lncRNA from 1 species